rnacentral:rRNA from 1 species
AGUGAACGCUGGCGGUAGGCCUAACACAUGCAAGUCGAACGGCAGCACAGUAAGAGCUUGCUCUUACGGGUGGCGAGUGGCGGACGGGUGAGGAAUAUAUCGGAAUCUACUUUUUCGUGGGGGAUAACGUAGGGAAACUUACGCUAAUACCGCAUACGACCUACGGGUUAAAGCAGGGGAUCUUCGGACCUUGCGCGAUUGAAUGAGCCGAUGUCGGAUUAGCUAGUUGGCGGGGUAAAGGCCCACCAAGGCGACGAUCCGUAGCUGGUCUGAGAGGAUGAUCAGCCACACUGGAACUGAGACACGGUCCAGACUCCUACGGGAGGCAGCAGUGGGGAAUAUUGGACAAUGGGCGCAAGCCUGAUCCAGCCAUACCGCGUGGGUGAAGAAGGCCUUCGGGUUGUAAAGCCCUUUUGUUGGGAAAGAAAAGCAGCAGGUUAAUACCCCGCUGUUCUGACGGUACCCAAAGAAUAAGCACCGGCUAACUUCGUG